AAUAGCUGCUAUGACAUGGUGCAUUAUGGUCACUCCAACCAGCUACACCAGGCACGGGCCAUGGGGGACUACCUCAUCGUGGGUGUAUAUACUGAUGAGGAGAUUGCCAAGCAUAAGAGGGCCCCGGUGUUUACCCAGGAGGAGAGGUACAAGAUGGUACAGGCCAUCAAGCGGGUAGAUGAAGUGUUGCUUGCUGCUCCCUAAGUACCCAUACUGAAGACACUGGACAAGCACAACUGUGACUUCUGUGUUCACAGCAAUGACAUCAUGCUGACAGUAGAUGGCCUAUGAGGAAGUGACGCAGGUUGGGAGGUACAGAGAGUGCAAAGGAACCCAGGGUGCGUCCACCACAGACCUCGUGUGUCGCAUGCUGCUGGUGACCAAGGCCCACCAUAGUAGCCAGAAGAUGUCCUCUCAGUACAGGGAAUAUGCUGACAGUUUUGGCAAGUGCCCUGGGGAGCAGAGCCCCUAGACAGGGGUGUCCCAGAUUCUACAGACAUCCCAGAAGAUCAUCCAGUUUGCCUCUGGGAAGGAGCCCCAGCCCGGGGAGACAGUCAUCUAUCUAUGUGGCUGGUGCCUUUGACCUGUUCCACAUCGGGCACAUGGACUUGAAGAAAGUGCACAAGCUAGCCUAUGUCAUCACCAGCCUACACUUUGACCAGGAAGUAAACCGGUACAAGAGCAAGAACUACCCCAUCAUGGACCUGCAUGAGCGGACUCUCAGUGUGCUGGUGUGCCAGUAUGUUUCAGAAGUGGUGAUUGGGGCGCCAUACUCUGUCACAGCAGAGCGCUUGAGUUACUUCAAGGUGGACCUGGUGUGUCAUGGGAAGACUGCAAUUGUACUCGACAGGGAUGGAUCCAACUCCUACCAGGAGCCCAAGAGAAGAGGCAUCUUAUGUCUGAUUGACAGUGGCAAUGACAUCACUACAGACCUGAUUGUGCAAAGGAUCAUCAAGAAUAGGUUGGAAUAUUACGAAGCACGGAAUCAGAAGAAGGAAGCCAAGGAAUUAGCCUUUCUGGAAGCCAUGAGGCACCAGGAGGCACCGCCUGGAGGGGAAACUGAGUAG